rnacentral:rRNA from 1 species
CCUACGGGGGGCAGCAGUGGGGAAUAUUGGACAAUGGGCGAAAGCCUGAUCCAGCCAUGCCGCGUGUGUGAAGAAGGCCUUCGGGUUGUAAAGCACUUUCAGUGGGGAAGAAAGCCUUGGGGCUAAUACCCUCGAGGAAGGACAUCACCCACAGAAGAAGCACCGGCUAACUCCGUGCCAGCAGCCGCGGUAAUACGGAGGGUGCGAGCGUUAAUCGGAAUUACUGGACGUAAAGCGCGCGUAGGCGGUCUGAUAAGCCGGUUGUGAAAGCCCCGGGCUCAACCUGGGAACGGCAUCCGGAACUGUCAGGCUAGAGUGCAGGAGAGGAAGGUAGAAUUCCCGGUGUAGCAGUGAAAUGCGUAGAGAUCGGGAGGAAUACCAGUGGCGAAGGCGGCCUUCUGGACUGACACUGACGCUGAGGUGCGAAAGCGUGGGUAGCAAACAGGAUUAGAUACCCUAGUAGUC